ACGGGGCCUGAAAGGGGGCGGAGUCAACGGAAGACACGCCCCCGGGCCCCCAAACUCUCUCCAACACUUCUCAUUGGCUGUUUGCCUCCCUCGAACUAAUGGUUCUUCUCCUUGACCUCAAGAUGCACUCUUUUCUAGAGCCGGUUGCCCUUUCUCAGGUUGUCGGGUAAUCAGCCUCCCAUCAGCCACUGUCUUCUCUGCUCUGUGGACAUGCCUAGCUUUUUCUCACUCCUUAAUUUUUGCAUAUGUCAUGCUCUCUGCUUGAAACGUCCUGUUGUUCAUGAAGGUCCUGACAGACACACCUUAGGAAAGUGGCCCCACCGGUUUCCCCAGCCUGGAGUGCUGUUAUGAAAGCCACCAGGGAGGCGGAGCCAGCAGGUCCUCAGCUACCGGGGAGGGCAGGGAUCCCGCUUCCUGAGAAGGCUGCUGAAGACUCUGCUCCAAGCUAAACGAAUCACUGUCUCCCCAUGGUGACGCAGAAAUGCAGGACAGUCAGAGCGAAGACCGGGCCCUCCGCAUCUGGGAGUUGUGCUAAGUGAUGCUGCGCACCUUCGCAGGAUGCUUACGAAGCCAGAAGGGUAUCCCAGAGCCUGGGACUAGGGCUGUGAAAGAGCACAUUCCUCUUCUACCUCAGGCUCCCUAUAUUCUUAGCAAAACUUGUCAUCUUUUGCUCACGGAGGUAAAAUAGCACAGAGAUUAGGAGAAUGGACUCCCAAGCUAGAUUUCUUGAGGUUGAAUGCCAGCUCUACUGUAGGGUCUAGCCCUACGGGGCUUGGCGGGUGUUUUCCCCGUGUGCGGAGAUGAGAGAUUGUAACAAAUAAAGACACAAGCCAAAGAGAUAGAAGAAAAGACGCUGGGCCCUGGGAACCACUACCAUCAAGACGCGGAGACCGGUAGUGGCCCCGAACGGCUGGUUGCGCUGAUAUUUAUUGCAUACAAGACAAGGGGGCAGGGUAAGGAGGGUGAAUCUUCUAAGUGAUUGACAAGGUGCAGCAAGUCACGUGAUCACAGGACGGGAGGGCCCUUCCCUUUUAGGUAGCCGAAGUAGAGACAGAAGGCAGCAUACGUCAGCGUUUUCUUCUAUGCACUGAUAAGAAAGAUCAAAGACUUUAGACUUUCACUAUUUCAUCUACCGCUCUGUACUACGAACUUCAAAGAGGAACCAGGAGUACGGGAGGAACAUGAAAGUGGACAAGGAGCGUGAGCAUUGAAGCACAGCCCCACAGGGAGGGGUUUAGGCCUCCGGAUGACUGCGGGGAGGCCUGGAUAAUAUCCAGCCUUCCACAAGAAGCUGCUGGAGCAGAGUGUUCCCUGACUCCUCCAAGGAAAGGACACUCCUUUUCGCGAUCUGCUAAGUGAUGGGUGUCUUCCCAGGCACUAGCGUUACCGCUUGACCAAGGAGCCCUCAAGCGGCCCUUAUGCGAGCGUGACAGAAGGUUCACCUCUUGCCUUCUAGGUCACUUCUCACAAUGUCCCUUCAUCACCUGACCCUAUACCUGCCGGUUAUUCGUAGGUUAUAUUAGUAAUGCAACAAAAAGUAAUAUUAAAAGCUAAUGAUUAAUAAUGUCUAUAA